rnacentral:lncRNA from 1 species
AGCUUUGACGUUUUCGACAUCUUGGAGUUCACUGAGGAUAUGAAACAAAGGAACCACAUAUAAGAUGUGGCCCUGGGAAUACUGCCUUCCAGAGAGGUGGGGUCCUAGCAGCAGCUUCAGGGAUGCUUUGGCCCCCAAGAUCAUGUGCUGUUGUUGCAGUGCCUGAGCAGGACCUGGAAGUGCCUGGACAGGAUCUGUCAGC